UACGUAGGGGGCAAGCGUUGUCCGGAUUUACUGGGCGUAAAGAGCGUGUAGGCGGCCCGACAGGUCCGUUGUGAAAACUCGAGGCUCAACCUCGAGACGUCGAUGGAAACCGUCGGGCUAGAGUCCGGAAGAGGAGAGUGGAAUUCCUGGUGUAGCGGUGAAAUGCGCAGAUAUCAGGAGGAACACCCGUGGCGAAAGCGGCUCUCUGGGACGGUACUGACGCUGAGACGCGAAAGCGUGGGGAGCGAACAGG
rnacentral:rRNA from 1 species